GGCGAGCCGGCCUGGAGGGGAAACGAUCCCUGUCUCGUAAAUGCGCUUGGUCGGAAGGGAGCCGGGCAAUAGGGCCCGCAGAAAACAAGAAGAUUUGAUUAGGGAAUCAUGCACUCGGCAUAGGAGCCGGUUGUAAUCUAAUGAAUCUGCAAUCCCAUGUGUGGGCAGACAGCAAGUUACCAGAAGAGGGUGUAGCAGGAAUAAACUGAAGCACAAACAUCCAUCUGCUUGCCAGUAUCACCCGACGUGCUCUUGUUCCUUGGUGGAAGAAGGGUACCUACACUGAGAACUUCUUCUUCCCUUACUCUGUGCUUGACUCAGUUACUGUUAAAGAGAGAAAAAGUAUUUCUACCUGUUUCUGCAGCCUUUCACACCUUUCGGUGAGUAUAUUUUAUUUACAGCACAAAGCUAAUGGAAGCCAUCUUUGGACAGUGCAUUUUAGACUCAAAGCACUUGAAUUCUUUGAAUUCCACACCCCCAAAGCAGCCAAGAGUACAGAUAAUGGUUCCUCCUAUUCCCUCCUGCUGGAAGGACCCCAAGAAGGACAACAUUUAAAAUCGUUUCAGAAUAUGCUCUCAACAUUACACCAUGCACAAAAGGAGAUGGGAUUACUUGGGUCAAAAAAAUCAGAUACUAAAUAUUUACACUUAAAAGCAAACCAUCAAGUCUUAGGGAAGACAGGUGAAUCUCCUAAAUCUUUGUCUUCCACAAAAUAUUUAGCCUACAUUGCCUGUGUUUUAAUCCCUGCUGGCCCUUGCUAAAUCUGAAAUACAAGAACCUAAGUUUGUAGAGGAGAGUAUCAGUGACCUACUAAAACCAAGGACUUUCACAGACACACUUUGUUUAUGGUCUAUUGCAAUGUUCCUCCUGCCCACUUCUGCUACACAAGCAUAAAGCAUUU